UACGGAGGGUGCAAGCGUUAUCCGGAUUUACUGGGUUUAAAGGGUGCGUAGGUGGGUCUGUAAGUCAGUGGUGAAAUCUCCGAGCUUAACUCGGAAACUGCCAUUGAUACUAUAGAUCUUGAAUUAUCUGGAGGUGAGCGGAAUAUGUCAUGUAGCGGUGAAAUGCUUAGAUAUGACAUAGAACACCAAUUGCGAAGGCAGCUCACUACGGAUAUAUUGACACUGAGGCACGAAAGCGUGGGGAUCAAACAGG
rnacentral:rRNA from 1 species